rnacentral:rRNA from 1 species
CCUACGGGUGGCAGCAGUGAGGAAUAUUGGUCAAUGGACGAGAGUCUGAACCAGCCAAGUAGCGUGAAGGAUGACUGCCCUAUGGGUUGUAAACUUCUUUUAUAUGGGAAUAAAAUGUUCCACGUGUGGGAUUUUGUAUGUACCAUAUGAAUAAGGAUCGGCUAACUCCGUGCCAGCAGCUGCGGUAAUACGGAGGAUCCGAGCGUUAUCCGGAUUUAUUGGGUUUAAAGGGAGAGUAGGUGGAUUGUUAAGUCAGUUGUGAAAGUUUGCGGCUCAACCGUAAAAUUGCAGUUGAAACUGGCAGUCUUGAGUACAGUAGAGGUGGGCGGAAUUCGUGGUGUAGCGGUGAAAUGCUUAGAUAUCACGAAGAACUCCGAUUGCGAAGGCAGUUCACUGGACUGCAACUGACACUGAGGCUCGAAAGUGUGGGUAUCAAACAGGAUUAGAUACCCCUGUAGUC